rnacentral:rRNA from 1 species
AGGUAGUAUAAAUUAUAAAAACCUUUACAUUUUGGCGGCACCCUUCUAAUAGAGGAACUUGUAUUUUAAUCGACAUCCCACGAUAAAUUUCACUUUUAUUUAAAAUUUAUAUACCGCCGUCUUAAGAACUAAUUUAAUUACAUUAUUCCCAAAAAUAAAUAAAAAGUCAGGUCAAGGUGUAAUCUAUAUAAAAGAAUUCUAUGAGUUACACUAAGAAAAAACUUAAAGAUAAAAUUCAAAAAAAAAGUUAAAAGAGGAUUUAUUAGUAAUAUUAUAUUAAUAAUGAAUUAUGAACAUUUACAAGAGUGUGU